GAUGAUUAGAUCCGUGGAUCUGUGGAUCUGCUAUUGUUUUGUUGCUGCUACCUUCCCAGAACUUGUUGCUCCAUACUUGUUUUGUUCUGUUGGACUAUUGCUGCUGAAUUCCGUUUUCAGUUUACGUAAUGGAUUAAUGGGUUAGUAACAAAGCUCUGGUUUUAUUGGAACCAGUCACGAAGAUGGAAGCACUCUUUGGUGGGAUGUUCGAAAGCCUGGGUCGCCUAUAUCUUCAGUGAAGUAUCAUUCAGAAUCAGGUCUCAUUUUGACCGCUCGCAGUGUUAGAUCCUAGCUGUUUAACUUCGAUUUUCCAAUAAUAGUAGCUGGAAAAGGCAUGAUCUAAUAAGGUGCUGGUGUGCAGCUUUAUCCCUUGCUAUCGAUGGGUCUUGCAAUGGUGGAAUCUCAGGAGGCGCUGAUGAUAAAUUUAUGCGCAUGAUUUUCAGCAAGCUCAGAAAUGCUACAAUGACUGCUCAGAGGUUCAAGCCUUCCUCAAUAGCCAUCAGAAC